GAUGAACGCUGGCGGCGUGCCUAAUACAUGCAAGUCGAGCGAACAGACGAGGAGCUUGCUCCUCUGACGUUAGCGGCGGACGGGUGAGUAACGCGUGGAUAACCUACCUAUAAGACUGGGAUAACUUCGGGAAACCGGAGCUAAUACCGGAUAAUAUAUUGAACCGCAUGGUUCAAUAGUGAAAGACGGUUUUGCUGUCACUUAUAGAUGGAUCCGCGCCGCAUUAGCUAGUUGGUAAGGUAACGGCUUACCAAGGCAACGAUGCGUAGCCGACCUGAGAGGGUGAUCGGCCACACUGGAACUGAGACACGGUCCAGACUCCUACGGGAGGCAGCAGUAGGGAAUCUUCCGCAAUGGGCGAAAGCCUGACGGAGCAACGUCGCGUGAGUGAUGAAGGUCUUCGGAUCGUAAAACUCUGUUAUUAGGGAAGAACAAAUGUGUAAGUAACUAUGCACGUCUUAACGGUACCUAAUCAGAAAGCCACGGCUAACUACGUG
rnacentral:rRNA from 1 species